GUCAACCAACAGGUUAAAAGGUUGGAGAGCCCCUUGGGCUGAGCUAGUAGUCCUGUUGUUAUCUUACGGUGCCCUUCUUUCCAUCCCCUUCUUUCUUUCCUGUUAAUGUAUUUUUGUAAACUGUAUGCCAGCAGCUGUCACUGAAGCAUCUAGUCUCCUCCAGGCUGCUUCUUGGUUCCUUCAGUUCUUUGAGGCUGAGAGGAAAACCAGCUCCAAAGUAUGGAAUAACAUGGUGUUUCUGGUAAUGGACAGGGUUUGAGUCUUCAGCUUUUUUAAUGCCUGCCUGUCUGCAGAGUUUAGAUGUGAGGGUAUGUGCCCCCCAGAAUUGUUUUAGGUGAGCUGGAUCAGAGAGAGCUGUGAGCUCUCCCCAUUUCUUGUGACAGGUUUUGGAUACAAGAGAUAAGCAGACUGCAGGGCUUGGUGUGUCGAGGCAGGCUGCCUUUCAGUUCACACUUGCUCUGCAUAGGACAGACUGACACAGCUCUGGCUACAGCUGAUAUUGCUGGCGGGGUGGGCUGGGGGGCAAAAGAGCACGUCAUGUGGUCAGAAAUCUGCCCAACCCUCCUACUAAAUACAAGCCAAGAAAGGCUUGCCUUCCUGGCAACUGCAUGGCAGGUGACUGCACAUGAAUGAACACUGCUAAAAUUAAUAUCUGUAUGAUUAAAUGGUGUUCUUCACUCAUUUUUUCCACUUUUCUACCUGGUUCACGUACAACAUUCACUUAGUGUUUUUUACUAAGUGGUGGUCUCAGUGCAGUUGGUGGUCACAAGAAACAGUAGAGGAGAAAGUUCCUUCCACAGGAAAGACACAUUAAAAAUAACAUCACCCCUGGAGGAGGCAGUAGUUGACAAUGGAACUUUUCAACUCCCUUCAUUUGCUAAUGUUGUAAAAGUUGGCAGCUCUUUAAAUUGCUGAUGGCCCUCUAAAUACGUCAUGGGUUUUGGUCUGGUUUUUUUCUUAAAUAAGUAAUCCAUCAGAAUGACAAAGUACCUUCGGAAAGAAGAGCAUUGUGAUUUUAAGUUCAUCUAGAAGUUACAGAGGAAAAACACAGCCUGACUGUUAAUUGUUUUACUUCAAUGCCUUUUGCUGAUAUUGAGAGCUUAGAAGAGCUCAGUAGUGAUUUCAAUUACUUGGGUGUAAAUCUGGAAAAUGACAGUGGAGUUGGUCCAGAUUUACAUAAGGACAAAUGAGAUUUUAAGAAAUGUCUGUAUAGUUUCCUUUCAGGCUUUAGAUAUAAUUAUCUUAAUUAGCCUCUCAAUUCAAGGGUCUAAUUUCCACCAUGGUUAAUGAAUAACACUUAUACUUGGUGACUGAAUUAUCUGACUUGAAUUAUCAUUUUUAGGGAAUAUUCUAAAGACUUCUAGUGAGAAAAAAAAGCCUCAGAGUUCUCCAGCUUUAUUUUUCCAAAUAUAAAGACUAAAUAUAGCAUGUGUUCCCCAGAAAAUGUGAGUGACAGGGAUUAGUAAUUCAUCAACAACAUGGCCCAUUUACAGUCCUACCAGCACAGAAUUCACCACGGCAUGGAGAAUAUCAAACAAAACAACUCGGUUUACUUCCAUGCAUUUAAAACAAUGAGGAAUAAAGGCUUAAUUCAGACUAAAACUCCAGAUGCUCCCUGGAUUUAAUUAAUAGUAAUGAAAACAUUAAAUAAUAGCUAAGAAAUAAACUGAAACUGGAAUUAUAAAAGGCUGAAAAAUAAUUAAUUAAAUCUCAAAAGUAUUAAAAGUUGUAGUUGAAAAUGAAGCUGUGUUCUGUCACAAGGCUUUGCUCAAAAAAUACUUUUCAAAAGUCCCCCCCAAAACCUAUGGGUUGCAUUUAAUUGUAUUUUAAAUCCCUGCCAGCUCAUUCCAAGAGGUGGUGUGACUAUGAGCACCCCCUCGAGACUACGGUGUUUCUUAGCAGUUGAUCAUUUUCGCAUGGUUUUCUUUUAAAAUAGAUCUCAGGACUGAGUUGCAGGGGCCCCAGUUCCUCAAGACUCAUUUGGAAAGGGAGCAUUUUGCGCUUGAUGCCCUGGGCAGGCGUGGAAAGCAGAGCAGAGCAGAGCAGAGCAGUGCUCCCAGGCAGGCUGACUGUGUCCUGUGUUAUCGGUGGAGCAAGGUGCACUGGUGCGGCAGCAGCUGCAGGGGCUCCAGGCCACUGAGCCGACUUUUUAGAGCACAACCUGCUAUUUGCACCUGCCCAGUCAUGCUUCUGGAAGAGAAGAAGUUGGUCCAGCUGUACCUCCAGUGGCUGUGGAUAGGAGGAGUUCAUGUGUUUGCUGCCUUCUCUUCCCUUACAGAAGUAGCCCAAGUCCUUGCAACUUUGAGUUUCAUUGUGUACCUCUGCUUAGCUUCAGGUAUAAAUCAACCACAGCAGGCAUUUGCUGCCUGUUACACUACAAAGCAUCAGACAUUAUCUGUAAGCACUGCACUCAGUUUUGCCACAGUUCAGUAAACAAUGUACAUGGCUGCUGUGCUCCAAGUGAGUCAGAGACCUAGAAAUGAGCUGUUACUGUGCAGCAGGGUACAAACUAGGCCUUUCUUUACCCAAUCCAAGCACACAAAGCAAGUUAUUGCUGUAAAUAUUUCUCUCUCUGGCCUUUUCUUCGCUGCAAAGAGAGGUACUUUCCUAAUGUCUGUUAGAGAUCCAAACCACAAACAUAUUAAAAUAUAUUUGCUUGUUUAUUGUAGCUGUUAAAUCCACCAACUCCUGUGGUGCUAAUAAGAAUGAAAAGGGCACCUUUUCCCAUGGAUGGUUUUGUUCUUGGUGUAUCCAAGGACAAGCAACUUUAUCUUUGGAAAACCAAAGCUGUGUUAUAUGUUAUGUAUGUUUUAUACUCCUCAGUUAUAUGUGAAUAAUGUAAUCAAUGGAAAGUGGAUUCCAACUUAUUUUUGAUGGCUGACAACAGAUGCCUUGCUGUGCUUCACCUUCCCACCCAGUUCUCUGUCUUCUGACAUUUCCCCUGCCCUGCCUACCCCUGUUUUUCUUAUUUUUGAUUUUUUUCCCCUUCUGGUUUUAAUUUAAUCCUUUUCUCAACCAAUAAACAAAACCCUCCUGUAAAAUUUGCUCUGCAUGAAUGAAUCAUUGUUAUGCUUUUUAUCCCUUGCCUUUAAUAAAUGUUAUAGGAUGAA